ACUAACUCAACUGGAUGUGGGUAUGACCUGAAGCACUAGCCAGGCUGGACAGUGAGGCUAAGACAGGGAUCACCCCUCAAGUAUCAGCCAGUCCAUCAUGUACCAUCCCUUUAGAAUGAAGACCUUGGCAACUGCAGCUCAGAACACCCAGUGUCCUGUGAGGAAGGAGACGCCUUUCAGAAAAUAUGAUGCAGGUGUGGGCGGAGCUCUCUUCAGACCAAGUAAGAAAGAGGAGCAGUGUCACCAAGAAGACUAGACUGUCUUAACAAUAGCAAACUGAACAACCCUGCAUCAACAGAUUUCCUACACAGAUAUGCUAUACUGAUUUUAUUUUUAUAGAUGUAUGUAUGUUUAUACAUUUAAAAGAGACUAAAAUGUAAUAAUAUGAAGCACACUUA